GUUUGUUGUUUUUCAUAGAUAAGUUUGGGUAAACAGGCCACAAACUUACACAUUGUUGUUCGAAAUUCUGACCAUUCUAAUU
rnacentral:lncRNA from 1 species